rnacentral:rRNA from 1 species
CCUACGGGAGGCAGCAGUGGGGAAUAUUGGACAAUGGGGGCAACCCUGAUCCAGCCAUGCCGCGUGUGUGAAGAAGGCCCUCGGGUUGUAAAGCACUUUCAGUGAGGAAGAACGCCUGGUGGUUAAUACCCAUCAGGAAAGACAUCACUCACAGAAGAAGCACCGGCUAACUCCGUGCCAGCAGCCGCGGUAAUACGGAGGGUGCGAGCGUUAAUCGGAAUUACUGGGCGUAAAGCGCGCGUAGGUGGCUUGAUAAGCCGGUUGUGAAAGCCCCGGGCUCAACCUGGGAACGGCAUCCGGAACUGUCAAGCUAGAGUGCAGGAGAGGAAGGUAGAAUUCCCGGUGUAGCGGUGAAAUGCGUAGAGCUCGGGAGGAAUACCAGUGGCGAAGGCGGCCUUCUGGACUGACACUGACACUGAGGUGCGAAAGCGUGGGUAGCAAACAGGAUUAGAUACCCGAGUAGUC